rnacentral:rRNA from 1 species
GUGAGUAAUGCCUAGGAAUCUGCCUGGUAGUGGGGGAUAACGUCCGGAAACGGGCGCUAAUACCGCAUACGUCCUGAGGGAGAAAGUGGGGGAUCUUCGGACCUCACGCUAUCAGAUGAGCCUAGGUCGGAUUAGCUAGUUGGUGGGGUAAAGGCCUACCAAGGCGACGAUCCGUAACUGGUCUGAGAGGAUGAUCAGUCACACUGGAACUGAGACACGGUCCAGACUCCUACGGGAGGCAGCAGUGGGGAAUAUUGGACAAUGGGCGAAAGCCUGAUCCAGCCAUGCCGCGUGUGUGAAGAAGGUCUUCGGAUUGUAAAGCACUUUAAGUUGGGAGGAAGGGCAGUAAGUUAAUACCUUGCUGUUUUGACGUUACCAACAGAAUAAGCACCGGCUAACUUCGUGCCAGCAGCCGCGGUAAUACGAAGGGUGCAAGCGUUAAUCGGAAUUACUGGGCGUAAAGCGCGCGUAGGUGGUUCAGCAAGUUGGAUGUGAAAUCCCCGGGCUCAACCUGGGAACUGCAUCCAAAACUACUGAGCUAGAGUACGGUAGAGGGUGGUGGAAUUUCCUGUGU